rnacentral:rRNA from 1 species
CUUGGCGGCGUGCCUUAAUCAUGCAAGCUCGAGCGGACAGAAAGGGAGCUUGCUCCCGGAUGUUAGCGGCGGACGGGUGAGUAACACGUGGGUAACCUGCCUGUAAGACUGGGAUAACUCCGGGAAACCGGAGCUAAUACCGGAUAGUUCCUUGAACCGCAUGGUUCAAGGAUGAAAGACGGUUUCGGCUGUCACUUACAGAUGGACCCGCGGCGCAUUAGCUAGUUGGUGGGGUAAUGGCUCACCAAGGCGACGAUGCGUAGCCGACCUGAGAGGGUGAUCGGCCACACUGGGACUGAGACACGGCCCAGACUCCUACGGGAGGCAGCAGUAGGGAAUCUUCCGCAAUGGACGAAAGUCUGACGGAGCAACGCCGCGUGAGUGAUGAAGGUUUUCGGAUCGUAAAGCUCUGUUGUUAGGGAAGAACAAGUGCGAGAGUAACUGCUCGCACCUUGACGGUACCUAACCAGAAAGCCACGGCUAACUACGUGCCAGCAGCCGCGGUAAUACGUAGGUGGCAAGCGUUGUCCGGAAUUAUUGGGCGUAAAGGGCUCGCAGGCGGUUUCUUAAGUCUGAUGUGAAAGCCCCCGGCUCAACCGGGGAGGGUCAUUGGAAACUGGGAAACUUGAGUGCAAAAAAGGAGAGUGGAUUCCCCGUGUAGCGGUGAAUGCGUAAAGAUGUGGAGGAACACCAGUGGCGAAGGCGACUCUCUGGUCUGUAACUGACCCUGAGGAACGAAAGCGUGGGGA